CACCAGUCCAAUGAAGUAGACAGUCAAUAAAUGCUUGUUAGCUACUGCUUUGUAUGUGCAGAGAUUUAAUUACCUCUACUCUUAAAAAAUGGUUCAUUUUGGCUUCUGUAACCUGAAUAUUAAUUAGCAUGCCAUUCUCUUUCCUGUACAUCUCCCCAUCUCAGAGCAAUGCCAGCACUGAGAAAGCACAAAGUCCUUUUUCUUAUUUGCUUCCAGUUUUCUAAUUUUACCUUCUCCCUCUGCCUUGCUCCCUGUUUUGUCUCAGCCCCAGUCUCUCAUCUUUCCUUUUGUACCCUGUGUCCUAGGCUCGAUGGCUAUGUUCUCACUCAUCUAUGAGCAGGCUGCAUGGAGACCUAAACAUAGUCCAGACAGACGAACCCUCAGAGUAAAAUAUCAAAUCCAGCUCAUUUGACAAUAAAGUAUUCGAGCGAACAUCAAAGAAGUAACAUUAACAUUAUCUACUCGGAAGUUGGACUCAACUAUACAGCUACCUGCUGUAUGUGCCUUCUUCAUUGGCAGAAUUGUACUUUUGCUUACUGCUGGGUUGAAUCUACAAAUUUGACUGGGCUUGCUCUUGUGCCUGUAUUCAUCCUGUAUCAGCCCCAACUAAUGAUCACCAAAGAUCCUUCAUGGGAAUUAUUUGGCGACAAAUGCAAAUCGUGGAAUAACUCUUUUGACAAUGAACCUGUCUCUUAGUAAGAAAUACAAAGCUUUGAAAAGCCUCUUAUGAAUCUCACGUUGUUUCCUGGAACAAGUCUGUUGACAUUUACAUGCAUGAUACAAAAGCUACGGUGAGUAAAACUGCUGGCUCCUUAGCAUGAAUCCAGGCAGUGGCAUUCAAUUGUACCAGCUGUCUCCAUACCAGAAGUAUCAUGUCCUCCACCAUCCCAUACAUGCAGUUAAAAAAAGGCAAGACAGUUUCAGUUAAAAAUGUCCUUGAUGAAGCUGUAAAAGUCAAUAAUUCCAUUAAAUCUUAACUUUCUUCCUUCCUUCCUUCCUUCCUUCCUUCUUUCUUUUCUUUUCUUCUCUUUUCUUUUCUUUUCUUUUCUUUUUUGGGAACGGAGUUUCGCUCUUGUUGCCCAAGCUGGAGUACAGUAGAAUGAUCUCGGCUCACUGCAACCUCUGCCUCCUGAGUUCAAGCAAUUCUCCUUCCUCAGCCUCACAAGUAGCUGGGACAACCAGUGCCCACCACCACGCCUGGCUAAUUUUUUGUAUUUUUAGUACAAAAAAUUAGUUGGCCAGACUGGUCUGGAACUCCUGGUCUCGGGUGAUCCACCCACCUCAGCCUCCCAAAGUGCUGAGAUUACAGGCGUGAGCCACCGCACCUGGCCAAAUCUUAACAUUUUGAACACAUACCUUUUUACUAUUUCUGCAUGACCAAAUGGGAAGUGCCCGUGAAGCACUUUUACUACAUACUGAAGUAUGAAGCUUGUCUCAGGAAAAGCACCCGUGCAACCGUAUUAGUCCGUUUUCACGCUGCUCAUAAAGACAUACCCGAGACUGGGCAAUUUACAAAAGAGAGAUUUAUUGGACUUAUAGCUCCACAUGCCUGGGGAGGCCUCACAAUCAUGGCAGAAGGCAAGGAAGAGUAAGUCACAUCUUAUGUGGAUGGCAGCAGGCAAAGUGAGAGCUUGUGCAGGAAAACUCCCAUUUUAAAACCAUCAGAUUUUGUGAGACCCAUUAACUAUCACAAGAACAGCAUGGGAAAGACCUGCCCCCUUGAUUCAUCAUCUCCCACCAGGUGCCUCCUCAACACAUGGGAAUUAUGGGAGCUACAAGAAUGAGAUUUGGGUGGGGUCACAGUCCAGCCAUAUCAACAACCAUUUGAGUUAUGAGCUAAACAGGCUACUUGGAUCAUGGAACACCAUUUUUACUUGAAAGAACAGCAGGUGGGACAAACUAUGAUUACUUAGAUUUGGGUAUUUGGUAGAUGUUGUGUUCACAAUGAACAAAGUGGACAUUUUAUUUAAGUGAAAGCAAUGGAUAUUUUUCCUUGCCAAUGAUAAAAUUUGAACAGUUCAUGGAAAAUUAGAAUACUGUAAAACUUGGAUCCACCACUGUAAGUCUGAUGGCUUCUUAAUACUUUCCUUUAUUAAGAUAGGUGGUGAUAUGAAUGAAUUUUUUGAUAUUGUGUGAAAUAUAUCAAUAUUUUGAAGAUCUGUAUAACUUAGUAAGCCAAUAUUUUCCAAGUUAAAAAUGUGUGAUGUUAUAGAAAUAUUCAUAAGUAAUCCAUUCAAAGUGUAAAAUAGAUGAAUGGAUUUUUUUUUGAGAUGGAGUCUCGUUCUGUCGCCCAGGCUAGAGUGCAGCGGCGCCAUCUUGGCUCAUUGCUACCUCUGCCUCCUGGGUUCAAG
rnacentral:lncRNA from 10 species